rnacentral:rRNA from 1 species
UACGAAGGGGGCUAGCGUUGCUCGGAAUGACUGGGCGUAAAGGGCGCGUAGGCGGAAGUGACAGUCAGACGUGAAAUUCCUGGGCUCAACCUGGGGACUGCGUUUGAGACGUUACAUCUAGAGUGAGGAAGAGGGUCGUGGAAUUCCCAGUGUAGAGGUGAAAUUCGUAGAUAUUGGGAAGAACACCGGUGGCGAAGGCGGCGACCUGGUCCUUGACUGACGCUGAGGCGCGAAAGCGUGGGGAGCAAACAGGAUUAGAUACCCUGGUAGUCCACGCUGUAAACGAUGUGUGCUGGAUGUUGGGUGACUUAGUCACGCAGUGUCGUAGCUAACGCGAUAAGCACACCGCCUGGGGAGUACGGCCGCAAGGUUGAA